rnacentral:rRNA from 1 species
UAANGCGUGGGCAACCUACCCUUAAGACCGGGAUAACACCCCGAAAGGGGUGCUAAUACUGGAUAAGCCCCUUGUAGGGCAUCCUAUGAGGAGGGAAGGUAGCGGGAGCUACCGCUUAAGGAUGGGCCCGCGUCCCAUCAGCUAGUUGGUAGGGUAACGGCCUACCAAGGCGACGACGGGUAGCCGGCCUGAGAGGGUGGUCGGCCACACUGGGACUGAGACACGGCCCAGACUCCUACGGGAGGCAGCAGUGGGGAAUCUUGCGCAAUGGGCGAAAGCCUGACGCAGCGACGCCGCGUGAGCGAGGAAGGCCUUCGGGUCGUAAAGCUCGAUAGUGUGGGAAGAAGGGAUGACGGUACCACGCGAAAGCCCCGG